GCACAAGCGGUGGAGCAUGUGGUUUAAUUCGACGCAACGCGAAGAACCUUACCUGGGCUCGAAAUGUAGUGGAAUCCGGUGGAAACAUCGGCGCCCAGCAAUGGGCCGCUAUAUAGGUGCUGCAUGGCUGUCGUCAGCUCGUGUCGUGAGAUGUUGGGUUAAGUCCCGCAACGAGCGCAACCCUUGUUACCAGUUGCUACCAUUUAGUUGAGCACUCUGGUGAGACCGCCUCGGAUAACGGGGAGGAAGGCGGGGAUGACGUCAAGUCCUCAUGGCCUUUAUGUCCAGGGCUACACACGUGCUACAAUGGCCGGUACAAACCGUCGCAAACCCGUGAGGGGGAGCUAAUCGGAAAAAGCCGGCCUCAGUUCGGAUUGGAGUCUGCAACUCGACUCCAUGAAGCUGGAAUCGCUAGUAAUCGCGGAUCAGAACGCCGCGGUGAAUACGUUCCCGGGC
rnacentral:rRNA from 1 species